rnacentral:rRNA from 1 species
AGUCGACGGCAGCGCGGGGCAACCUGGCGGCGAGUGGCGAACGGGUGAGUAAUAUAUCGGAACGUACCCAAGAGUGGGGGAUAACGUAGCGAAAGUUACGCUAAUACCGCAUACGAUCUAAGGAUGAAAGUGGGGGAUCGCAAGACCUCAUGCUCCUGGAGCGGCCGAUAUCUGAUUAGCUAGUUGGUAGGGUAAUGGCCUACCAAGGCGACGAUCAGUAGCUGGUCUGAGAGGACGACCAGCCACACUGGGACUGAGACACGGCCCAGACUCCUACGGGAGGCAGCAGUGGGGAAUUUUGGACAAUGGGCGCAAGCCUGAUCCAGCAAUGCCGCGUGAGUGAAGAAGGCCUUCGGGUUGUAAAGCUCUUUUGUCAGGGAAGAAACGGCUGGGGCUAAUAUCCCCGGCUAAUGACGGUACCUGAAGAAUAAGCACCGGCUAACUACGUGCCAGCAGCCGCGGUAAUACGUAGGGUGCAAGCGUUAAUCGGAAUUACUGGGCGUAAAGCGUGCGCAGGCGGUUUUGUAAGUCUGUCGUGAAAGCCCCGGGCUCAACCUGGGAAUUGCGAUGGAGACUGCAAGGCUUGAAUCUGGCAGAGGGGGGUAGAAUUCCACGUGUAGCAGUGAAAUGCGUAGAGAUGUGGAGGAACACCGAUGGCGAAGGCAGCCCCCUGGGU